rnacentral:rRNA from 1 species
UACGGAGGAUGCAAGCGUUAUCCGGAAUGAUUGGGCGUAAAGCGUCCGCAGGUGGCUGUGUAAGUCUGCUGUCAAAGAGCGAAGCUCAACUUCGUAAAGGCAGUGGAAACUACACGGCUAGAGUGCGUUCGGGGCAGAGGGAAUUCCUGGUGUAGCGGUGAAAUACGUAGAGAUCAGGAAGAACACCGGUGGCGAAGGCGCUCUGCUAGGCCGCAACUGACACUGAGGGACGAAAGCUAGGGGAGCGAAUGGG